UUUUAAGGCAAUCAGUUAUUUGCAAAUGUUUUCUGAUAGUUUCUCAAAAGAGAAAGUGGGCUAGCAGCAGGUGCUGGCCUCCUCUAGCAGGGGGGCAGAUGUUUGGGAAAGGUUAGAGGUAGGAGGCAGUCACCCAAGUUCACUAAUUAGCUCUUCUGCCCCUUCCUCUCCCUCCAGAAGACUGUGCUAAUGAGAAAAGGAAGUUUAAGUGCUAAAAAAAGAAAGCAAGCUUGCUAAUGCUACUUAAAGGCACAAAAAUGUUCCCAUGCAGUGCGCUCUUCAGAGCUCUAAUUGGGAUGCACGCGGUCCAGUUUGGGCAGAAAGUAACCACACCCCAGCGGUCUUUCAUUUAGCUGAGUUCUCAACGGUGUUGGGAGCAGGAGGAAGGUGAAGAAUGUCACUGAGGGGAGGAGGAGGAAAUACAAGUGUGGAGUCUCUCCUACUAUCUCCUCCUUGGGUUCCAGACAAUGUUUUAAGGGAGUACUGGUCUUAAGUAAAAUUCCCUUAGUUGUGGGUUAUCCUUCAGCAUCUCAGUCAGGGCUUAGACAUGCCAUGGCUUGCAGGAGCCAGUUCAGGUUAUUAAACUAUUGUUCUCAGCAACAAACCCACCCAUCUACACCGUCCUCCGUGGUGUGGGGCUUUGUUGCUGUUUUAGUCACUCAGUCUCCGACUUCCUGGACUCUAGCCCACCAGGCUCUUCUGUCUGUGGAAUUUUCCAGCUGGGUUCCUGUUAUGUGCCACUGAUGGAGGGCACUAAAGGGAGACUGGAAAGCUGCAGGACGAUGAAAGGACUUUCUCUUUCCUGUUUUGCUGUUUCCUGUCGGCAUCAACAAGAGAAGGCCUUUCCCCUCAGCAACAACAAUCGGCCCCAUUUCCCAGCUCCUUCUAGCCCUCCCAGAUAAAAACUCACCACAUCCUCUCCUCCCACACCAGCUGGUAGCCCUUCCUUCUCAGAGCUGUGAGUCCCAGUUCCAUAGUGUCCCUCCUCCAGGCACCUAGGGUUCCAAUAGCCCCACGUUCUUGUUUCUAAAGCCUUAAGAAUAAUUACUAUCGUUUGAUACUUCUUUUCAUUCCCUUUUUGCCCUUUCAGUUCAGUUCAGCCACUCAGUCAUGUCCGACUCUGCAACCCCAUGAAUCACAGCACACCAGGCCUCCCUGUCCAUCACCAACUCCCGGAGUUCACUCAAACUCAUGUCCAUCGAGUCAGUGAUACCAUCCAGC
ensembl:lncRNA